GUGCUUGCUUCAGCAGCACAUACACUAAAAUUGGAACCAGAGAGGGAAGAUUAGCAUGGCCCCUGUGCAAGGAUGACACGCAAAUUCGUGAAGCAUUCCACAGACCC